rnacentral:rRNA from 1 species
UGCAAGUCGAGCGGUAGAGAGAAGCUUGCUUCUCUUGAGAGCGGCGGACGGGUGAGUAAUGCCUAGGAAUCUGCCUGGUAGUGGGGGAUAACGUUCGGAAACGGACGCUAAUACCGCAUACGUCCUACGGGAGAAAGCAGGGGACCUUCGGGCCUUGCGCUAUCAGAUGAGCCUAGGUCGGAUUAGCUAGUUGGUGGGGUAAUGGCUCACCAAGGCGACGAUCCGUAACUGGUCUGAGAGGAUGAUCAGUCACACUGGAACUGAGACACGGUCCAGACUCCUACGGGAGGCAGCAGUGGGGAAUAUUGGACAAUGGGCGAAAGCCUGAUCCAGCCAUGCCGCGUGUGUGAAGAAGGUCUUCGGAUUGUAAAGCACUUUAAGUUGGGAGGAAGGGUUGUAGAUUAAUACUCUGCAAUUUUGACGUUACCGACAGAAUAAGCACCGGCUAACUCUGUGCCAGCAGCCGCGGUAAUACAGAGGGUGCAAGCGUUAAUCG